rnacentral:lncRNA from 1 species
UUGUGUUUGGUCCAUGUACUUGGGACUUUUGCCUAAUCUGUAAUCUAAUCCAGGAGUAGCUGAGACAAGUAUUAUAGACGAUACUUUCAGAAAUGUGCCUUUUCUUUUGGAGUGUCUCAUGUCGCAUACAUAACAGUGGAUGCUAGCUCAGCCAAUACAGUUGCUCUUUUUUUUUUCUUUUUCAUUUUUUGGGACGGCGCGUGAGGGGUGUUUGAAACAAACAAAAUAAUACAGGGAACUCCAAGUUCAGAAGUUAAAAGAAGUGCAUGGAAUUGGAUCAUGGAAAAGUAAGCAUUCAUUAUAAUAUUAUUUAACAAAGUUGUUGCAUAAAUUUAGUUUUCUACAAGCAUCAUGUCCUUGAAAGUAGCUUUUAUGAUCAAUAAAGAAUGCUUAUUUUGUCAUAAAACUGACCACUUCUUAUAACUACUUGUUCGAGGAGCUUCCUGUGGGACUUUCUUCAGGUCAAGCAUGAAAAUUAAUCACCAUAUAGGUGCACACAAGGAGCUGCCCAAUUGUCUCAAACAUGGUUUGGUGUUAAAGACUAAUGUUGCCACCUAAGUUGAUGAAUAUUUUGGGACUACGACUUACUUCAUGUUGGACCAUCUACAGUGACCUUUAAUAUUGGUAUGACUAGUCUUAAAAUAUCAACCAGACAUGGUCAGGCAAAUCAGCCCUAAAAAACAGAAUCUUCAAACCUGACCAGUUAAAGCUGAACCAUAACUGAGCAGCAAAAGUUACCCUACUUAAUGAUGGAUACGAUCUCAACUAUUUGCUGAUUAAAGUGUUCAUAUUCAUUUUCGGUCCUAAAACUACAUCCUGCCAACAGCCAACACUUAUUAUAUACUUGUUCAUAUCAUGUAGACUAGCAUAAAAAUAUAUAAUGAUCAUGAUGAAUUUAUGAUUAAAUUAAUCAAACAUGGAUUUUUCCAGUAUGGUUUUAAAUAGCAUAUUUGUUAAAUUAUUACCCUAUUGUUAUUUUGAUGAAUAUAUUCUUUUUUUCAAUCAUGUAACACGUGUACUGCAAUGGGCCUUGACAUGACCAAGUUUACCUAAACAAAACAAAAGAAAAGCAUGAAAUUUAGUGAAUGCUGCAAAGCAAUUACUAGCAAUCCAGAAAUUUGGAAUUACCUGAUUGAACCCCGAUCUAAAUGCUUCCAUCUGCCGCAUAAUUCCUGUCUUAACAGUUGCAUCAACUACCAAGGAGAUGUAUUCUUCCAAGUUGUCGAUAUUAACCUGCAAGGGCCAUCAGUAAUUCAAAAAUAUUGUAGUGAGAUAGUCAUGAAUUAGGGCAAACAAUGCUAAACAUUCUGCUUCUUACCAGGAUGCCUUCUCCUCCUCCUUUAAGAAUGUAAUCAGGAUAACCAGGAAGUGUAAAAUCUAGACACAGAUCUUCAACAGGAGCACCACGGAUACGCAAGUCAGAAAUUGUCUUUUGAUCAUUACCAGCUGUUGCCUCUAAAAACUGUUUGCGAUGAACAAGGAUUUUCAUUUCUUGCAAUAUCUUCCCAAACUCAGCGUCAAAUGAGAUAAUGUCAUGCACAUCAAGUUCCUAUUGUGAACCGUAAAUUGUCACAUAUGAUACCAAAAUAACCAAAUGUCACACAAGAAAUCAGAAACAAAAUCAUAUACACAGGUACCUCAGUAACUUACCUGUCCCAACAUGAGUUUGUAGAAUGCAGUUGACAGCGGCAGAUCCAAAAGCCGCCCAUCCUGUAGAGCUUUUGCCAUUACUCGACCAACCAAACGGAAAUAUUCAACAACCUUAGAGAACUGGCUUCCAUCAGAAGCAUCUGUAUUAGGAGGCCAAGGGCGAGGAAACAAACCAAACGGAGCAUGGAUAAGAUCUCUACUUCCAACAGAAAAAUCAGAACUAAGUUUCUUUGCUUCUGAACCAUCAUCAGUAAUUCCAUCUUUCAUCUCAACUCCAUCAAUAUCCAUGGCAGAGUUGUCAGAUGUAGAGCUGGACCUCCAUAAUCCCAAUCCAACCUUUUGCAGGUCCUGACUUAAGAGAGUAUAGAAUUCCAGAGUUGGACCUAAUCCAGUGCCAACUUCACCAAAGUAUUCGACUUCAAGAACAGCCUUCGUGCUACAAUACAAGUCCAUAACUUUUAAAGCAGAAUCUAAGAUACGGUUUCUAGCAACACGAACUUUUUGUCGUUGCAAUCUACCAACACGGACCUCUCUUUCACUUGAUGAACUAUGACUAUCAGCACUUUGCUGUUGCUGAAGCCGAUGCAAGGCACGGGAUAGUCCAAAAGCUGUUGAAUAGAAGUACAGCCUCCGUGUUUCAAAAGGAAACAGAAAAGGAGAUGCUUUGGUCAUUUGGUAACACCAUGAAGGAAGACUGCCACUGCACAAUGCAAGAGGAUCCUGAAUUUGCCGAGCAAGUUUAGGGGUUAGCUUGCUACUAAUGAACUCUUCAGAAGGAACCUUUGCACCAGCCCUAUAGAGUUCAUCCAGGCUGGAAAUCUUCCCCUCAGCAAAAUCGUCAGACACUGUCUGCACUCUUAAGCGAGGAGCUAGCUGAUUCAGACCUUCCAGUACUCGCAACAAUGCCAAAAUGUUGUAAGUAGGAUUAGACUUUUCAAGGUCACAUGGCAGCUCCCCUUGCAAGAUGCUAUCAAGAAGGGACAUUUGCUGCCACUGAGAGUCGCAACCAGAUUUGGAGGAGGAAACAGAUUUAGACUUUGAGGUUGAACCUCCAUGAGAAGCCCUUUCAACCUGGCUAUCAGCCUUUUGGUAAGUUAUAGUAAAUAUAUCACUCCAGAACCUGCCUCCAUCACUAGGCAGGUCAGAUCCAUUGAACCUUUCAUCAUUGUCUUCCUCAAGCACAAGCUGGCGUUGGAUAGCCUGAUAUAUGGUCAAAUGUUUGCUGAGCUGCUUCCCUCCUGCUGUGAACAUCAAUUUAUUGUAAUGGUCCUUUACACUAUCACCAGACACCAGCCCAUGACGAUCUCGACCACCCCUGAUACCUCUCCCACUCACAGAAGCAAGCCCAGCCAUCGCAGCAGUAGCAAAUGACAUUGCACUACCCCUUGAACCAAAAGUACUUCCAGUUCGGUAUUCAGCAGACCCUGGGCCUCUAACUGAGGUAGUUCUAUUACUAGAACCAGAUGAAGGUUGUGCUUGGUUGUCACUUGCUGAAGAAGACACUGUAGCAUCAUCAGCUGGAUCUCCUAAUUUGACAUCAUGUACCUUGUCUGGUACACAACCAGGAAGAGAGUCAUCUCUCAGGACCUGAAAGAGUAACAAAUAUCAGCGACCAUCAUAAUUAAAUGUGGAAUAAGUAAGAUCAGAGGGAAUUUCUGUCAAAAUCCAUUUCCAUUUAGUCUCAGAUAGACACUAUUCAUAUCUUGGAAAACAUAAAAAUCACCUUUUGGCACCUACAUUAGACAAAUAGCGGCAUGGUAAUAUGAAUCAGCAGUAAUAAGAAAAAUAGAAGUGCUUAAUCAACUGCGUAGAAAUUAAAAUUUAAAACACAACAUAUAUGGUUAACCAGACAACCUGAUCAUGAUCAUCAUCUUCAUCAUCUGAGAAAUCAUCCUCUUCAAUCAUCAGAGCAUCAUCGAUCUCAACAGGAGACAUGUCCAACUCCUCAUCCUGCAUAGCAUGAACAAUGUCAUAUUAGGUGAUGAUGAUGCACAAACAUACAGUGUCUCAAAAUAACAGAAACAAAGUGCAACAAAAUGACAAUGUUUAGUAAAUUAUAAAGGAAUUCCACUAUGUACUGAAAACAUUCUACUCCUACAUAACAUUGAGGUUUCUUAUUGAAUAGAAUAUAGCUAACAACAACAUUAAACUAGCACCAAUGCCUGUUCCAGCUCUUCACAUGGUAUGCAUCUUACAGUCACUCAAACCAGAUUGAGAAAGGACAGUCUUUCCAAUCAAACAUGACAUUAAAAGCCAUAUUAUUUACAGAAUUACUAAAAUAUUAAGAAAUUAGAUAUGGCCAAAUUUCUAUUUUUAAUUCAUCAGACUGCAAAGAGUAGACAACAGCUUAAAGGCCUCUAGGGCACCACAGCAGAGUGGCAACAGACUCGAAGAUUUCUCGGGUGGUUAUGGAAUUCAGAUGGUCAGGCGAAGAAAUAUAUUAGUUUAUUAUAAACAAGACCAGGCUUGACCAUGAGAAGGAUAAAAUCACUAAUCAACUAGAUAAUAGUUUCAGACUCUUACACUGUCUAACAAUCAAAGACAGUAUUUCAAGUUGACCCAAAAAAUUCAAGCAGUACAAAAGGCCAAAAAAUACAAUGCAGCAGCAUGUAUAUGGGCAUCCAUCAGAGUGUUUCCAAAGAUGAUGAUGACAAAAUGACAACAGCAACGAUGACAUUGAUGAUGAAAGAGAUGGGGAAUGACAACGUGCAUAGACAUCACAAGCAUAUCUGCAACAGUGAAUGUAGCAGUUAUAUAGCAUGUUUCAGUAUGCUAAACAACUAAUGAGUAUUGCUUGUAUAGAAUCAAUUUAUCUCAUGGAUUAAUCAACCUUCUAGGCUUUCUUUUUGUUAUCUGGGAACAUAUUCUGAACAAGAUAACCCCUGUUCUAGCUAACCAAUCAGCACCUUCAGUUCUCUUCUGAUUACAAUGAGGAAAGCUUCCGCUUGCUCAAGUCCCAAUAUUAAAAAUAUAUUCCACAAUUUCAAAUGUUCUCUUGGGAAGACAACCACUCGAAGCACUCUUUGCCUGACUACUGAUAAUAAGAUUUGUUUUCAUUAGUAUUUUAUUGAACAGAACUCUAGUAAUUAGCACACUACCACUGUCAUUAUAGCAUUCUGUAAUUGUAGCCGACUGCAAUAUUAAAAGUUGAUCUUUAGAGCCACUGGCUCCACUAUGCACGAUGCUUGGGUGAUUAAUUCAUAAACUUCACAGCAUAAAGUAGAGUUGACAACCCCAACGGUUGUCUACAAGAUGAUGUAUUCAUUAAACCACUAGGGCAACAAAGUCUUAGGGAGUAUAAACAGACAAACUCCAUUUCCAAUUAUCAAUGGCUAAGAUUUGGCACCAUGGAGGUUUUGGCCAAGCAAUGACGGAAUCUAAACUUGUCUCACCCAUCAACCAACCCCCCACCCCAAAAAAGGAAAAAAAUGAACAGCUCCAUUUGGGCACAAGUCAAGACACAUGACCAUCCCCAGCUACCCAAUUGGAAAAGAACAAGAUAAGUAUCUGCUGAAGAACCGACCAGCAGGCAAGACACAUUGUAACCGACCAACAGAACACAAA